rnacentral:rRNA from 1 species
ACAGAGGCCUCAAGCGUUGUUCGGAUUUACUGGGCGUAAAGGGUGCGUAGGAGGCCCGUUGUGUCAGCUGUGAAAUGCCGGGGCUCAACCCCGGCAAUGCAGAUGAAACUGGCGGUCUGGAGCGCCGGAGGGGUCGCUGGAAUUCCCGUAGUGGCGGUGAAAGGCAAUGCCAAUGGUAGGCGUACCAAUGGCCGUGGCAAGCGACUGGUAGGCCUUGGAGUCUGAGGCACGAAGGCUGAUGGAUCACACAG